GCCAAGACUAGAGUCAUAUCCUGACACAACUCUUGUCCUGGUGUGCUAGAUUACUCGGAGAGAAUCUACUGGUCUUGAUUCACUGGCAGGGGCAGUCAGUGCUCUCAUUAGUGCCCAGAUCAGAAAUAUAU
rnacentral:snoRNA from 1 species